rnacentral:rRNA from 1 species
GCCCGGGAAACUGGGUCUAAUACCGGAUAGGACUGCGCGGUGCAUGCCGUGUGGUGGAAAGAUUUAUCGGUGCAGGAUGGGCCCGCGGCCUAUCAGCUUGUUGGUGGGGUAAUGGCCUACCAAGGCGACGACGGGUAGCCGGCCUGAGAGGGCGACCGGCCACACUGGGACUGAGACACGGCCCAGACUCCUACGGGAGGCAGCAGUGGGGAAUAUUGCACAAUGGGCGCAAGCCUGAUGCAGCGACGCCGCGUGAGGGAUGACGGCCUUCGGGUUGUAAACCUCUUUCAGCAGGGACGAAGCGCAAGUGACGGUACCUGCAGAASAAGCACCGGCCAACUACGUGCCAGCAGCCGCGGUAAUACGUAGGGUGCAAGCGUUGUCCGGAAUUACUGGGCGUAAAGAGCUCGUAGGCGGUUUGUCGCGUCGUCUGUGAAAACCAGCAGCUCAACUGUUGGCUUGCAGGCGAUACGGGCAGACUUGAGUAUUUCAGGGGAGACUGGAAUUCCUGGUGUAGCGGUGAAAUGCGCANAUAUCAGGAGGAACACCGGUGGCGAAGGCGGGUCUCUGGGAAAUAACUGACGCUGAGGAGCGAAAGCGUGGGUAGCGAACAGGAUUAGAUACCCUGGUAGUCCACGCCGUAAACGGUGGGCGCUAGGUGUGGGUUUCCUUCCAC